ACUCCCAGCCUGCAAGACCUUCAACUGUAAGCUCCAGCCUAACCGCUAAAAUUCUCUGCCAUAAUGAUGAUAAUGGAGAAAUUGGAAGAGGCUUAGAGAAGAAUAAGUCACCAAAUGUUUAUUAAGCCCUGAAAUAUUCCAGGUACCGUGAUACACCCACUGGGCAUCAGUUAUAAGUCAUGUGCAAUUGAGAGCAUAAAAGUGAAGAGUCUCUCUUUCAGCGGCGUGGUCUCCUGCAAGCACCCGGAGCAGAAGAUUAUACUAACACUAGAGAAAAUGAUCGGGUCCUUGAAAGGAUACACAAACACCAGGGAUGAAAUGAACUCACUAGCUAUCUGAAAUGAGUUACAAGAUACAGCCACAGGCUCCUGAGCUGAGAACCCGGAAAAUCCCUACAAGAUAAAUGCUGUGAUCCCUACUUCACAGAUGAAGGAAGAGGAACUGAGAAGUUAAGUCACACGGUCACAAGAUCACAUACUUGGAGCAUAAUUACCAUGCCAUUGAUUCUCUCUCCGGGCCUGGAAAGGAAACAAGAUGCACUGUCCUCAAUGAUGAGAUCUACAGGUACUCUGAAGAAUUCAUCGUCGUCUCCACCUCAAACACAGCCAACCAGCUCCUGUUCCUGGUGAUACUUCCCAUUGCCAUUGAGUUAGUGAGGCUUACAACUUCAAAAGCCACUUUUGCUCCCUCCUCCCUGGUAUUUUACAUGGAAUCAGUCAUCCAGACCAGAUGCAAAUGGUCAAAGCUCCGAAGAUGGA